GAGACAGUGGCACGAUGGAUAACACAUCUGACUACGAAUAAGAAGAUUCCAGGUUCGACUCCUGGCUGGCUCA
rnacentral:tRNA from 1 species